GGGUUGUGAGGUUAAGCGACUAAGCGUACACGGUGGAUGCCCUGGCAGUCAGAGGCGAUGAAGGGCGUGCUAAUCUGCGAUAAGCGCCGGUAAGGUGAUAUGAACCGUUAUAACCGGCGAUACCCGAAUGGGGAAACCCAGUGUGAUUCGUCACACUAUCAUUAACUGAAUCCAUAGGUUAAUGAGGCGAACCGGGGGAACUGAAACAUCUAAGUACCCCGAGGAAAAGAAAUCAACCGAGAUUCCCCCAGUAGCGGCGAGCGAACGGGGAGGAGCCCAGAGCCUGAAUCAGCAUGUGUGUUAGUGGAAGCGUCUGGAAAGGCGCGCGAUACAGGGUGACAGCCCCGUACACAAAAGCGCAUAUGCUGUGAGCUCGAUGAGUAGGGCGGGACACGUGGUAUCCUGUCUGAAUAUGGGGGGACCAUCCUCCAAGGCUAAAUACUCCUGACUGACCGAUAGUGAACCAGUACCGUGAGGGAAAGGCGAAAAGAACCCCGGCGAGGGGAGUGAAAAAGAACCUGAAACCGUGUACGUACAAGCAGUGGGAGCCCCACCACUAAGCCAGUGGUGAACUCCACAUACGCAUCCUUUGCUGAGGAGACGGUUAACGGAGCGAAAGCGACGUUCAACCUCAAAAGAAGCAGAGGGGGCUUAGUGGUGGGGUGACUGCGUACCUUUUGUAUAAUGGGUCAGCGACUUAUAUUCUGUAGCAAGGUUAACUGUAUAGGGGAGCCGGAGGGAAACCGAGUCUUAACCGGGCGUUAAGUUGCAGGGUAUAGACCCGAAACCCGGUGAUCUAGCCAUGGGCAGGUUGAAGGUUGGGUAACACUAACUGGAGGACCGAACCGACUAAUGUUGAAAAAUUAGCGGAUGACCUGUGGCUGGGGGUGAAAGGCCAAUCAAACCGGGAGAUAGCUGGUUCUCCCCGAAAGCUAUUUAGGUAGCGCCUCGUGAAUUCAUCUCCGGGGGUAGAGCACUGUUUCGGCUAGGGGGCCAUCCCGGCUUACCAACCCGAUGCAAACUGCGAAUACCGGAGAAUGUUAUCACGGGAGACACACGGCGGGUGCUAAUGUCCGUCGUGAAGAGGGAAACAACCCAGACCGCCAGCUAAGGUCCCAAAGUCAUGGUUAAGUGGGAAACGAUGUGGGAAGGCCCAGACAGCCAGGAUGUUGGCUUAGAAGCAGCCAUCAUUUAAAGAAAGCGUAAUAGCUCACUGGUCGAGUCGGCCUGCGCGGAAGAUGUAACGGGGCUAAACCAUGCACCGAAGCUGCGGCAGCGACACCGUGUGUUGUUGGGUAGGGGAGCGUUCUGUAAGCCUGUGAAGGUGUGCUGUGAGGCAUGCUGGAGGUAUCAGAAGUGCGAAUGCUGACAUAAGUAACGAUAAAGCGGG
rnacentral:rRNA from 1 species